rnacentral:rRNA from 1 species
UACGGAGGAUGCGAGCGUUAUCCGGAUUUAUUGGGUUUAAAGGGUGCGUAGGCGGCCGAGUAAGUCAGCGGUGAAAUUUUGCAGCUUAACCGUAACAGUGCCGUUGAUACUGCAUGGCUAGGAUUUGGUUGCUGUGGGUGGAAUGUGUGGUGUAGCGGUGAAAUGCUUAGAUAUCACACAGAAUAUCAAUUGCGAAGGCAGCUCACAAAGCCAAGAUUGACGCUGAGGCACGAAAGUGUGGGGAUCAAACA